GACGAACGCUGGCGGCGUGCCUAACACAUGCAAGUUGAGCGACGAACCAGGGCUUGCCCUGGGGCAAAGCAGCGAACGGGUGAGUAACACGUGGGUAACCUACCCCGAUAACCGGGACAACCCGAGGAAACUCGGGCUAAUACCGGAUGUGCUCACUGGACUUCGGUUCAGUGCGUAAAGGAAGCUUCGGCCUCCGUAUCGGGAGGGGCCCUCGGCCCAUUAGUUUGUUGGUGAGGUAACGGCUCACCAAGACCGCGAUGGGUAGCUGGUCUGAGAGGACGAUCAGCCACACUGGGACUGAGACACGGCCCAGACUCCUACGGGAGGCAGCAGUGGGGAAUCUUGCGCAAUGCGCGAAAGCGUGACGCAGCAACGCCGCGUGGGGGAAGAAGGCCUUCGGGUUGUAAACCCCUUUCAGGAGGGACGAAGGUUCGGCGGUGAAUAGCCGUCCGGACUGACGGUACCUCCACAAGAAGCCCCGGCUAACUACGUG
rnacentral:rRNA from 1 species